rnacentral:rRNA from 1 species
UACGGAGGGAGCUAGCGUUGUUCGGAAUUACUGGGCGUAAAGCGCACGUAGGCGGCGAUUCAAGUCAGGGGUGAAAGCCCGGGGCUCAACCCCGGAACUGCCUUUGAAACUAGAUUGCUAGAAUCCUGGAGAGGUUAGUGGAAUUCCGAGUGUAGAGGUGAAAUUCGUAGAUAUUCGGAAGAACACCAGUGGCGAAGGCGACUAACUGGACAGGUAUUGACGCUGAGGUGCGAAAGCGUGGGGAGCAAACAGG